rnacentral:lncRNA from 1 species
AAUAAUUUGUGCAUCAUGUACAUGAUGUUGUAUUAGACACAUUAUUUCACCAUUACUCUUAGUUUUGAAUAAUUAUGGUACUAUUUUAUAAUUAUUUAUGCUUCACUUAAUUUAUUUAGGUUAUCAGUAAUGAAGUAAGAGGAAAAAUUCAAAUCGAUUGACGAAUCAAAAAACUAUUAAUUGAUUUAUUUAGUUUGUAAAUAUUAAAAUAAAAGAAAAAAUUCUCAAAUCAACACAGAACACACAAUAUCUAGUAUAUAUAUCAUAGCUAGAAUUAGCUAACUGAUGGAGUUAUGGACCCUAUAAUCAUAAUCGAUCAUCAUUCAUCACCAUGAUGUUUAAGCAGCUGGGGCAAAAUCAUAAUCUCCACCACCAUCAUCGUCGUCAUCUCCAUCGUCGCCUUCAUUACCACACGAUUGGGCAGCAAAAACAGUGCCGGCGUAAUGAUUGCGGCACCGAGCUUGGUUGUAACAAUCUCCAUCCGCAUGCUGCAACAUCAUAACCAACAUGACAAUGUUCAACAGAGCACACAUAUUGAAGAAGAAGAAGAAGAAGAAACUGCGCUAAGAAUGGGUGAAUAUACUGUGUUUUCUUUGCUUUGAGGUUGUUGUAUGAUUGCGGGU